GCGGGCGGUUCAUCACUGUUACCAGUUUUGAAUUUUAUCCUCCGAGUACCGAGGAAGCGUUAUUCAAGUUAUGGCCUAGCGUCAGUGUGGGGACGUGCUCCUCGUUCAUUCUAAUUUUCCUUAGAGGAACUUUUGUUACUUCUGUUACCAGAAGAACACCUACUUGCCAAUAUUAAAAAUGCCGGCGGUUUGUAUCGUCUUGCCAGACCUCGUUUACUGUUUUUUCCCUGCGGCCG
rnacentral:lncRNA from 1 species